AUAAUGGGUCAGCGACUUAUAUUCUGUAGCAAGGUUAACCGAAUAGGGGAGCCGAAGGGAAACCGAGUCUUAACUGGGCGUUAAGUUGCAGGGUAUAGACCCGAAACCCGGUGAUCUAGCCAUGGGCAGGUUGAAGGUUGGGUAACACUAACUGGAGGACCGAACCGACUAAUGUUGAAAAAUUAGCGGAUGACUUGUGGCUGGGGGUGAAAGGCCAAUCAAACCGGGAGAUAGCUGGUUCUCCCCGAAAGCUAUUUAGGUAGCGCCUCGUGAAUUCAUCUCCGGGGGUAGAGCACUGUUUCGGCAAGGGGGUCAUCCCGACUUACCAACCCGAUGCAAACUGCGAAUACCGGAGAAUGUUAUCACGGGAGACACACGGCGGGUGCUAACGUCCGUCGUGAAGAGGGAAACAACCCAGACCGCCAGCUAAGGUCCCAAAGUCAUGGUUAAGUGGGAAACGAUGUGGGAAGGCCCAGACAGCCAGGAUGUUGGCUUAGAAGCAGCCAUCAUUUAAAGAAAGCGUAAUAGCUCACUGGUCGAGUCGGCCUGCGCGGAAGAUGUAACGGGGCUAAACCAUGCACCGAAGCUGCGGCAGCGACGCUGAUGCGUUGUUGGGUAGGGGAGCGUUCUGUAAGCCUGCGAAGGUGUGCUGUGAGGCAUGCUGGAGGUAUCAGA
rnacentral:rRNA from 1 species